UAGAUACUGCGUAACUGACGGAAGUGGAAGAAACCACGGGGAGCGCAGUAGGAUUUGUAAGCCGACCGUCUGGGUAACCGUU
rfam:Desulfosporosinus sp. OT TOT.assembly.261, whole genome shotgun sequence.